rnacentral:rRNA from 1 species
UACGUAGGGUGCAAGCGUUGUUCGGAAUUACUGGGCGUAAAGGGCUCGUAGGUGGCCAACUAAGUCGGACGUGAAAUCCCUCGGCUUAACCGGGGAACUGCGUCUGAUACUGGAUGGCUUGAGUUCGGGAGAGGGAUGCAGAAUUCCAGGUGUAGCGGUGAAAUGCGUAGAUAUCUGGAGGAACACCGGUGGCGAAGGCGGCAUCCUGGACCGACACUGACGCUGAGGAGCGAAAAGCCAGGGGAGCAAACGGG